rnacentral:rRNA from 1 species
GACGAACCGCGCGAACGUUAUUCGGAAUUACUGGGCUUAAAGAGCGUGUAGGCGGAUCGGCGCGUCGGAUUCUGAAAGCCCCCGGCUCAACCGGGGAAGCGGAGCCGAAACGGCCGGUCUAGAGGGACGCAGGGGGAUCUGGAACUUCCGGUGGAGCGGUGAUAUGCGUUGAGAUCGGAAGGAACGCCGGCGGCGAAAGCGAGAUCCUGGACGUCUACUGACGCUGAGACGCGAAAGCUGGGGGAGCGAACGGG